rnacentral:rRNA from 1 species
UACGUAGGGGGCAAGCGUUGUCCGGAAUCAUUGGGCGUAAAGGGCGCGUAGGCGGCGCGACAAGUCACUUGUGAAAUCUCCGGGCUUAACCCGGAGCGGCCAAGUGAUACUGUAGUGCUAGAGUGCGGAAGGGGCUACUGGAAUUCUCGGUGUAGCGGUGAAAUGCGUAGAUAUCGAGAGGAACACCUGCGGCGAAGGCGGGUAGCUGGGCCGACACUGACGCUGAGGCGCGAAAGCCAGGGGAGCGAACGGG